rnacentral:rRNA from 1 species
CCUACGGGAGGCAGCAGUGGGGAAUAUUGGGCAAUGGGCGCAAGCCUGACCCAGCAACGCCGCGUGAAGGAAGAAGGCUUUCGGUUUGUAAACUUCUUUUCUCAGGGACGAAGCAAAUGACGGUACCUGACGAAUAAGCCACUGCUAACUACAUACCAGCAGCCGCGGUAAUACGUAGGGGGCAAGCGUUAUCCGGAUUUACUGGGUGUAAAGGGCGUGUAGGCGGUACUGCAAGUCAGAGGUGAAAACCAGGGGCUCAACCUGUGGACUGCAUUUGAAACUGUAGUCCUUGAGUACUGGAGGGGCAGACGGAAUUCCUAGGGUAGCGGUGAAAUGCGUAGAUAUUAGGAGGAACACCAGUGGCGAAGGCGGUCUGCUGGACAGCAACUGACGCUGAGGCGCGAAAGCGUGGGGAGCAAACAGGAUUAGAUACCCCAGUAGUC